UACGUAGGUGGCAAGCGUUGUCCGGAUUUACUGGGCGUAAAGAGCGCGCAGGCGGUCAUUCAAGUCGAGUGUGAAAGCCCCCGGCUCAACUGGGGAGGGUCACUCGAUACUGCGGGUCUCGAGUCCGGGAGAGGUGAGUGGAAUUCCUAGUGUAGAGGUGAAAUUCGUAGAUAUUAGGAAGAACACCAGUGGCGAAGGCGGCUCACUGGCCCGGUACUGACGCUGAGGCGCGAAAGCGUGGGGAGCAAACAGG
rnacentral:rRNA from 1 species